GAUGAACGCUGGCGGCGUGCCUAAUACAUGCAAGUCGAGCGAACGGACGAGAAGCUUGCUUCUCUGACGUUAGCGGCGGACGGGUGAGUAACACGUGGAUAACCUACCUAUAAGACUGGGAUAACUUCGGGAAACCGGCGCUAAUACCGGAUAAUAUUUUGAACCGCAUGGUUCAAAAGUGAAAGACGGUCUUGCUGUCACUUAUAGAUGGAUCCGCGCUGCAUUAGCUAGUUGGUAAGGUAACGGCUUACCAAGGCAACGAUGCAUAGCCGACCUGAGAGGGGGAUAGGCCACACUGGAACGGAGACACGGUCCAGACUCCUACGGGAGGCAGCAGUAGGGAAUCUUCCGCAAUGGGCGAAAGCCUGACGGAGCAACGCCGCGUGAGUGAUGAAGGUCUUCGGAUCGUAAAACUCUGUUAUUAGGGAAGAACAUAUGUGUAAGUAACUGUGCACAUCUUGACGGUACCUAAUCAGAAAGCCACGGCUAACUACGUG
rnacentral:rRNA from 1 species